rnacentral:rRNA from 1 species
AUUGAACGCUGGCGGCAUGCCUUACACAUGCAAGUCGAACGGCAGCACGGGAGCAAUCCUGGUGGCGAGUGGCGAACGGGUGAGUAAUAUAUCGGAACGUGCCCGGUCGUGGGGAUAACGUAGCGAAAGCUACGCUAAUACCGCAUACGAUCUACGGAUGAAAGCGGGGGAUCGCAAGACCUCGCGCGAUUGGAGCGGCCGAUAUCAGAUUAGGUAGUUGGUGAGGUAAAGGCUCACCAAGCCGACGAUCUGUAGCUGGUCUGAGAGGACGACCAGCCACACUGGGACUGAGACACGGCCCAGACUCCUACGGGAGGCAGCAGUGGGGAAUUUUGGGACAAUGGGCGCAAGCCUGAUCCAGCAAUGCCGCGUGCAGGAUG